rnacentral:rRNA from 1 species
GUCCACGCCCUAAACGAUGGCAACUAGUUGUUGGGGAUUAACAUCCUUAGUAACGCAGCUAACGCGUGAAGUUGCCCGCCUGGGGAGUAUGGUCGCAAGAUUAAAACUCAAAGGAAUUGACGGGGGCCCGCACAAGCGGUGGAUGAUGUGGUUUAAUUCGAUGCAACGCGAAAACCUUACCUACCCUUGACAUGCCAGGAAGACCGCAGAGAUGUGGUUGUGCCCGAAAGGGAACCUGGACACAGGUGCUGCAUGGCUGUCGU